rnacentral:rRNA from 1 species
GUGAAAGGCCCGGUGGCUUAACCCCGGGUCUGCAGUCGAUACGGGCAGGCUAGAGUUCGGUAGGGGAGAUCGGAAUUCCUGGUGUAGCGGUGAAAUGCGCAGAUAUCAGGAGGAACACCGGUGGCGAAGGGGAUCUCUGGGCCGAUACUGACGCUGAGGAGCGAAAGCGUGGGGAGCGAACAGGAUUAGAUACCCUGGUAGUCCACGCCGUAAACGGUGGGCACUAGGG